rnacentral:lncRNA from 10 species
UAGAUAAGAAAUAUAACCUGGGACUAGAAGAAUGUAUAGGAUUUCAACAGUCUGAAAUAAGAAGAGUAAACACUCCAGGAGGAGAGAUAGCAUGAGGAAGAGAAUGAAAAACAGAAAGUACAAGUGACACUAGAAUGAACCACAGGGUUUGUGUAUUUGGGUUGGGGUUGAGGAGGCUCAGAGAGAGAAUCCCAGAAAGGCUCAGAAAUUGGAAGCACCAGGAACCUCUGAAGACUUGGUAGGAGAAGGCAUGCUGCAGAGUAAGGCUGAAAACAAGAUUGGUUGGAAGUCUUCAGGCCC